CCUACGGGUGGCAGCAGUGGGGGCUAUUGCACAAUGGGGGAAACCCUGAUGCAGCGACGCCGCGUGGGUGAAGAAGUAUUUCGGUAUGUAAAGCCCUAUCAGCAGGGAAUAACGAAGACGGUACCUGACUAAGAAGCCCCGGCUAACUACGUGCCAGAAGCCGCGGUAAUACGUAGGGGGCGAGCGUUCUCCGGCGUCACUGGGUGUACAGGGAGCGUAGACGGCCGUGCAAGCCAGGAGGGAAAGCCCGGGGCCCAACCCCGGGACUGCUCUUGAAACUGUGCGGCUGGAGUGCGGGCGGGGCAGGCGGAAUACCUGGUGUAGCGGUGAAAGGCGUAGAUAUCAGGAGGAACACCGGCGGCGAAGGCGGCCUGCUGGACCGCGACUGACGUUGAGGCUCGAAAGCGUGGGGAGCGAACAGGAUUAGAUACCCGGGUAGUC
rnacentral:rRNA from 1 species